rnacentral:rRNA from 1 species
UACGUAGGGAGCAAGCGUUGUCCGGAUUUAUUGGGCGUAAAGAGCUCGUAGGCGGUUUGGAAAGUCAGGUGUGAAACCUCCAGGCUCAACCUGGAGACGCCACUCGAUACUGCCAUGACUCGAGUCCGGUAGGGGAGUGCGGAAUUCCUGGUGUAGCGGUGAAAUGCGCAGAUAUCAGGAGGAACACCGAUGGCGAAGGCAGCACUCUGGGCCGGUACUGACGCUGAGGAGCGAAAGCGUGGGGAGCGAACAGG